GCGGAGCGAGUGGAGCGGCGAGGAGGGCCGGGCGGCGUGCACUAGCUGAGAAAAGCAAUUUAUUGGAAGGCAGUUGGAUAGCUAAAAUAAUAAAUAGGAAGUCUGCAGAACCAAGCUUAGAAAUGGGAAACAAUCAAGGGAGACUGGCUGGCAGAGACACAGGCAAGAAUACUGUGGUGGGUCGCCAUUUCCCUCUCCAGGGAAUCUGCCCAACCCAGGUAUUGAUCCCAGGUCUCCGGCAUUAGCCAGAGGAUUCUUUACCACUGAGCCACAUGUUACAUUUUAAAAUGAGACUACUUUCCUGGUGGCUCAGAUGAUGAAGAAUCUGCCCGCAAUGCAGGAGACCUGGGUUUGAUCCCUGGGUUGGGAAGAUCCCCCUGGAGACGGAAAUGGCUGCCCACUCUAGGAAGUCCCAAGGACAGACAUGCCUGGCAGGCUACAGUUCAUGGGGCCGCAGAGGGUUGGACACUGCUGAGCGACU